rnacentral:rRNA from 1 species
UACGUAGGGUGCAAGCGUUAAUCGGAAUUACUGGGCGUAAAGCGUGCGCAGGCGGUUUUGUAAGUCUGUCGUGAAAUCCCCGGGCUCAACCUGGGAAUUGCGAUGGAGACUGCAAGGCUGGAGUCUGGCAGAGGGGGGUAGAAUUCCACGUGUAGCAGUGAAAUGCGUAGAGAUGUGGAGGAACACCGAUGGCGAAGGCAGCCCCCUGGGUCAAAACUGACGCUCAUGCACGAAAGCGUGGGGAGCAAACAGG